CCUACGGGUGGCUGCAGUGGGGAAUAUUGGACAAUGGGGGCAACCCUGAUCCAGCCAUGCCGCGUGUGUGAAGAAGGCCCUCGGGUUGUAAAGCACUUUCAGUGAGGAAGAACGCCUGGUGGUUAAUACCCAUCAGGAAAGACAUCACUCACAGAAGAAGCACCGGCUAACUCCGUGCCAGCAGCCGCGGUAAUACGGAGGGCGCGAGCGUUAAUCGGAAUUACUGGGCGUAAAGCGCGCGUAGGUGGCUUGAUAAGCCGGUUGUGAGAGCCCCGGGCUCAACCUGGGAACGGCAUCCGGAACUGUCAAGCUAGAGUGCAGGAGAGGAAGGUAGAAUUCCCGGUGUAGCGGUGAAAUGCGUAGAGAUCGGGAGGAAUACCAGUGGCGAAGGCGGCCUUCUGGACUGACGCUGACACUGAGGUGCGAAAGCGUGGGUAGCAAACAGGAUUAGAUACCCUGGUAGUC
rnacentral:rRNA from 1 species